ACCUACGGGGCGCAGCAGUAGGGAAUUUUCGUCAAUGGGCGCAAGCCUGAACGAGCAAUGCCGCGUGAACGAGGAAGGUCUUCGGAUCGUAAAGUUCGGUUGAAGGGGAAAAAGAGCGGAGAGAGGAAAUGGUCUCCGAUUGAUAUUACCCUUCGGGGAAGUCACGGCUAACUACGUGCCAGCAGCCGCGGUAAUACGUAGGUGGCGAGCGUUAUCCGGAAUGAUUGGGCGUAAAGGGUGCGUAGGCGGCCUGCUAAGUCUGGGGUGAAAGGUACCGGCUCAACCGGUACAGGCUCUGGAAACUG
rnacentral:rRNA from 1 species